GCUGUACCUGGGGGCUCCAGGAAAGGGCUUGACAGGACAGCCGUUGUUUUCUAGGUUUGCUGUCCUCACUCAUCUUUGUCAAGAGGCAAAUCCAGUUGCAGCAGCCCUGCACACAGGUCAGACAAACUAAUGGGAGACAUCGAACACAUC